UUCUGUUAUGAGUUUAUUUCAUGCUUAUUCACCGAUAGUGUAUGUAUGACGCCUUGAGAAGACUAUGUAGUCGAGUGGACUUAUUUACAUACCUGGCCUUGUGUCAUAAAUUGUGAUUUGUGGUUACAGUAACAGCAUCUAAUUCAACGCUGUGUUGAUACUAUGCAUUUGUGAUUAUUUGUAAUAAUUACUGUUGAAAAGUGUGAGACUAUGCACUUGUGCAAUGCACAUCAUUUGUAUUCAUUCAUGAUAAAGCAUCGGUGAAGAAGCAUCGCUUGAACGCUCAUUCAUUUAAUAUCAUCCUUUACAGGAACGCUAUAUUGGAGGAAGAAUACAGUGACAGCAAAAAGAUGACCCUGAUAUCUGCCAGCACACAACCUGAUGACAUCUCUGAGGGACUCUCAUUCUGACGGCACCCAUUCACUGAAGAAGAUCCACUGGUGAGCAAGUGAUGGAAUGAUACAUUUCUCCAAAUCUGUUCAGAUGAAGAAAUAAACUUAUCUAUAUCUUGGAUGGCCUGAGGACUCUUAGGUCCCAAGCGAAAUGUGGUCUUCUGCUCAGCAGAUCCAGACGAAUCUGUUCAGAUAAGCUCUGCACAUUCAGGGCCGAGAUCGAGAGUUCUGGGAGUCGUUGGCAAACAGAAAGCAACAUUCUGAUGGAGACGUGCUGAGUUAUGAUAGAUUGAGUGCUAGAAAGAGAGCAGGAGUCACGCAGAAGUGCAGAGAGAUGAUCCAUAUCACCAAUCAAUAUCUACUGCACUCCUUCUCAGCAGCCUGCGCUCGCAGUGAGUGUGUGCGUGGCAGAGAUCCCUUUAACCUUCUAUGUGGACAGGUUGUUGGAGCCCCUGCGGUCUGAUUUUAAUCACAUCCUCUGGUUAUUCACCGUUAGAGGAAUGAGAUACUAUUAUCUGUGAGAAAUUCUUUCCUACUCAUUUUUUUGGACACGAACUUCUUGUACAAAGAAGAAAGACACGUCUUCACCAUAUAAAUUCAACCCAAGAAUAAACAGAUGUGUGUAUUUGCUUGUCUUACAGCUGAAGUGUGUGCGGUCAAAACGUUUGGUUUUUAUCACACUCAGACCAUCACCAGUAAUGAUUUUUCUAUUGCUGUCAUAACAUGACAUUGAUUUGACAGAUUCCAUUUCAGAUCCACAUGUUUAAUGAGAUAUUUUUAGCCUGAAGCCAAACUGUGUGAUCACCUUUUCUUGAUGGAAUUACACGGCACUUUGAUGAAAUAAUCACACAUCACGCUAAAAGACGGUUAAUUGCUUUUGCGUUAAAUGUCAUAGUACCAGUUCUUUGAUUUACCAACACUUUAACUUAAUUGGCUUGUCUCCUAAAGGACAAAAUACCAAAGGAUAUUUAAAUAAAAAUGUUUUGUUUUUCAUAUAUUUCACAAACUACCUUUUACUUGAUUCCUUUAGUUCAUUGUUCAUCAGCUAUCUCAACUCCUAAAAAUGAUUGGUAUUGUUGGUUUCAUGAAGAACCUUUAAUGUUCAUGGAACUUUUUUAUCACACUAAAUGUUCUGUGUACUAGAAAGAAAAUAUUUAGAUUAUUACACUAUAUUAAAUGGUUCCCAACUGAAUCGUUGAUAUACCUUUGAUAAGUUUAAUUUGUUUUCUGAUAAGCAUCAUCUAUAUUUUUGAGAAACCUAUUAUAUAUGUAGGGAUAUUUACCAUCUUCCUAGCUCUCUUGCUUCAUGGAUUUCUUUAUUUAGCUUAAUUCUCAAAUGCUGUAUUCCCUGUUGCAUGUGGACUGUUGUUUCUUAGAGUUGCUUCAUUCAUUCUUAAAUGUUCUAUCAGGAAUAUUUCAAUAUGGUUGAAUACAUCUUCUUUAAGGAGUAUUAUUAUUGUACAUUAAAGUGUAGUUUGUGUCAUGAUUGUGCUAUUGCAAUUGUUACCUCCACCUGAGACCUCUAUCCAUCAAGCCAGCCAGCACUUACCCAGCAUGCAUCUGGAAGAAAUUGAGGCACACUUUGUAAAUGGCUUCACCUUUUUUCCCC
ensembl:lncRNA